UGGGGAAUUUUUCGCAAUGGGGGAAACCCUGACGAAGCAACGCCGCGUGGGGGAUGAAGGUCUUCGGAUUGUAAACCCCUGUCGACCGGGACGAAUGCACCUGGCCUAAUACGCCGGCGUGUUGACUGUACCGGUGGAGGAAGCCACGGCUAACUCUGUGCCAGCAGCCGCGGUAAUACAGAGGUGGCAAGCGUUGUUCGGAAUUACUGGGCGUAAAGGGCGCGUAGGCGGCCUUGCAAGUCCUGUGUGAAAGCCCCCGGCUCAACUGGGGAAUGGCACGGGAAACUGCGAGGCUUGAGUUCGGGAGAGGGAAGCGGAAUUCCGGGUGUAGCGGUGAAAUGCGUAGAUAUCCGGAGGAACACCAGUGGCGAAGGCGGCUUCCUGGACCGACACUGACGCUGAGGCGCGAAAGCUAGGGGAGCAAACGGG
rnacentral:rRNA from 1 species